rnacentral:piRNA from 1 species
UCACAAACAGAAGGUCGCUCCUGUGGUCC